rnacentral:tRNA from 1 species
AGUGUGAUGAGUGGUUUGAAUAUUGGACUUGGACUCCAGAAGACUGGGGUUUGAAUCCCCCUCACUCUU